rnacentral:rRNA from 1 species
AGAGUUUGAUCAUGGCUCAGAACGAACGCUGGCGGCAGGCUUAACACAUGCAAGUCGAACGACAUAGUGGCAGACGGGUGAGUAACGCGUGGGAACGUACCCUUCACUACGGAAUAGCUUCUGGAAACGGAAGGUAAUACCGUAUACGCCCUCCGGGGGAAAGAUUUAUCGGUGAAGGAUCGGCCCGCGUUAGAUUAGUUUGUUGGUGGGGUAAUGGCCUACCAAGACUACGAUCUAUAGCUGGUCUGAGAGGAUGAUCAGCCACACUGGGACUGAGACACGGCCCAGACUCCUACGGGAGGCAGCAGUGGGGAAUCUUGCACAAUGGGCGAAAGCCUGAUGCAGCCAUGCCGCGUGAAUGAUGAAGGCCUUAGGGUUGUAAAAUUCUUUCGCCAGGGAUGAUAAUGACAGUACCUGGUAAAGAAGCCCCGGCUAACUUC